UACGUAGGGGGCAAGCGUUGUCCGGAUUCAUUGGGCGUAAAGAGCGUGUAGGCGGCCAGGUAGGUCGGUUGUGAAAACUGGAGGCUCAACCUUCAGAGGUCGACCGAAACCAUCUGGCUAGAGUCCGGGAGAGGAGAGUGGAAUUCCUGGUGUAGCGGUGAAAUGCGCAGAUAUCAGGAGGAACAUCGAUGGCGAAGGCCAGCCCCUUGGACCUGUACUGACGCUCAUGCCACGAAAGCGUGGGGAGCAAACAGG
rnacentral:rRNA from 1 species